rnacentral:rRNA from 1 species
AGCGGACAGAUGGGAGCUUGCUCCCUGAUGUUAGCGGCGGACGGGUGAGUAACACGUGGGUAACCUGCCUGUAAGACUGGGAUAACUCCGGGAAACCGGGGCUAAUACCGGAUGGUUGUUUGAACCGCAUGGUUCAAACAUAAAAGGUGGCUUCGGCUACCACUUACAGAUGGACCCGCGGCGCAUUAGCUAGUUGGUGAGGUAACGGCUCACCAAGGCAACGAUGCGUAGCCGACCUGAGAGGGUGAUCGGCCACACUGGGACUGAGACACGGCCCAGACUCCUACGGGAGGCAGCAGUAGGGAAUCUUCCGCAAUGGACGAAAGUCUGACGGAGCAACGCCGCGUGAGUGAUGAAGGUUUUCGGAUCGUAAAGCUCUGUUGUUAGGGAAGAACAAGUACCGUUCGAAUAGGGCGGUACCUUGACGGUACCUAACCAGAAAGCCACGGCUAACUACGUGCCAGCAGCCGCGGUAAUACGUAGGUGGCAAGCGUUGUCCGGAAUUAUUGGGCGUAAAGGG